rnacentral:lncRNA from 1 species
GGUGUAAACAAAAAUAUUUUGAGAUGAUGAGAAAAUAAUAGAAUGCAGUAAAUAAUUAUAACUAUCCAAUAGGCCAGCAAUAAUAAUUCGUCGAGUCUAAAUUAUCGGCCCAAAAUAGUUAAGCUUAGUUAUUAUUACUAGGUUUAUGGUCUUUUGUAUUCUCAAUCACAACUUUGUUCUCAUCUAAUAUGGGAUUAUUAGGGUGUCCACAUGGAGGCCUCUGGGCUAUCAAGUUGUUUUCGAUGAUAGAACAUUCGAGUAGACGAUUUGCUCUAUUAGAUAUGAUCAAUACUAUUAGAAGUAUUUAUAAACUAAAUUUCAUAAUGUUUUGAUAUCGUUUAUUUUAAAAAUGAAUAAUCUCAAAAUGAAUGACUGAAAAUGAAAAUCUUAUAACAAAUAAUAUAAGCGACCUAAAUUUCAUAUUAGAUGUACCGACCUUGCUUUAAAACCAAUAAUGAAAAAAAAUUUUAUGAAAAUUUUACUAUAUUUCGGUUGUUCUACACCGUUAAACUUACAAUAUGUGUGUAUAUCUAAAUAUAAUUUUGAAAAUAUAUGAGAUAUAAUUUCUAAGUAUUUCAAAUAUUCUAGACCAUGUUUAACUUUAUAAAUCAUUGAUUUGGAAACUCCAUUAUAAAAAAUGACUUACAAGUCCUCUAUACUUAUAAGGAUAUAGUAGCCUUUUCUUCAUAAACAUGAUCUACACUAUUGAAAGUAUUUAGAAACCAAAUUUUAUAUAUGGCUAAAUUACAAAAAAUGCCCCUAUAAAAACCCGCCUUUUCACUUCCCCUCUUGAUAUUUAAAAACCUACACUUUGCCCGAUCCUAAUUACAGAAUUGUGCAC